UACGGGGGGAGCAAGCGUUGUUCGGAUUUACUGGGCGUAAAGGGCGCGUAGGCGGUCAGCACAAGUCAGUUGUGAAAUCUCCGGGCUUAACUCGGAAAGGUCAACUGAUACUGUGCGACUAGAGUGCGGAAGGGGCAGCUGGAAUUCUCGGUGUAGCGGUGAAAUGCGUAGAUAUCGAGAGGAACACCUGCGGCGAAGGCGGGUUGCUGGGCCGACACUGACGCUGAGGUGCGAAAGCGUGGGGAGCAAACAGG
rnacentral:rRNA from 1 species